rnacentral:rRNA from 1 species
UUGACCUCGAAUCAGGUAGGAAUACCCGCUGAACUUAAGCAUAUCAAUAAGCGGAGGAAAAGAAACCAACAGGGAUUGCCCCAGUAACGGCGAGUGAAGCGGCAACAGCUCAAAUUUGAAAUCUGGCUCUCGGGCCCGAGUUGUAAUUUGUAGAGGAUGCUUUUGGUGAGGUGCCUUCCGAGUUCCCUGGAACGGGACGCCAUAGAGGGUGAGAGCCCCGUCUGGUUGGACACCGAUCCUCUGUAAAGCUCCUUCGACGAGUCGAGUAGUUUGGGAAUGCUGCUCUAAAUGGGAGGUAUAUGUCUUCUAAAGCUAAAUACCGGCCAGAGACCGAUAGCGCACAAGUAGAGUGAUCGAAAGAUGAAAAGAACUUUGAAAAGAGAGUUAAAAAGUACGUGAAAUUGUUGAAAGGGAAGCGCUUGUGACCAGACUUGGGCUUGGUUGAUCAUCCGGGGUUCUCCCCGGUGCACUCUUCCGGCUCAGGCCAGCAUCAGUUCGCCCUGGGGGAUAAAGGCUUCGGGAAUGUGGCUCUCUCCGGGGAGUGUUAUAGCCCGCUGCGUAAUACCCUGUGGCGGACUGAGGUUCGCGCAUUCGCAAGGAUGCUUGGUG